GGUUAAGCGACUAAGCGUACACGGUGGAUGCCCUGGCAGUCAGAGGCGAUGAAGGACGUGCUAAUCUGCGAUAAGCGUCGGUAAGGUGAUAUGAACCGUUAUAACCGGCGAUUUCCGAAUGGGGAAACCCAGUGUGUUUCGACACACUAUCAUUAACUGAAUCCAUAGGUUAAUGAGGCGAACCGGGGGAACUGAAACAUCUAAGUACCCCGAGGAAAAGAAAUCAACCGAGAUUCCCCCAGUAGCGGCGAGCGAACGGGGAGCAGCCCAGAGCCUGAAUCAGUGUGUGUGUUAGUGGAAGCGUCUGGAAAGGCGCGCGAUACAGGGUGACAGCCCCGUACACAAAAAUGCACAUGCUGUGAGCUCGAUGAGUAGGGCGGGACACGUGGUAUCCUGUCUGAAUAUGGGGGGACCAUCCUCCAAGGCUAAAUACUCCUGACUGACCGAUAGUGAACCAGUACCGUGAGGGAAAGGCGAAAAGAACCCCGGCGAGGGGAGUGAAAAAGAACCUGAAACCGUGUACGUACAAGCAGUGGGAGCCUCUUUAUGGGGUGACUGCGUACCUUUUGUAUAAUGGGUCAGCGACUUAUAUUCUGUAGCAAGGUUAACCGAAUAGGGGAGCCGAAGGGAAACCGAGUCUUAACUGGGCGUUAAGUUGCAGGGUAUAGACCCGAAACCCGGUGAUCUAGCCAUGGGCAGGUUGAAGGUUGGGUAACACUAACUGGAGGACCGAACCGACUAAUGUUGAAAAAUUAGCGGAUGACUUGUGGCUGGGGGUGAAAGGCCAAUCAAACCGGGAGAUAGCUGGUUCUCCCCGAAAGCUAUUUAGGUAGCGCCUCGUGAACUCAUCUCCGGGGGUAGAGCACUGUUUCGGCAAGGGGGUCAUCCCGACUUACCAACCCGAUGCAAACUGCGAAUACCGGAGAAUGUUAUCACGGGAGACACACGGCGGGUGCUAACGUCCGUCGUGAAGAGGGAAACAACCCAGACCGCCAGCUAAGGUCCCAAAGUCAUGGUUAAGUGGGAAACGAUGUGGGAAGGCCCAGACAGCCAGGAUGUUGGCUUAGAAGCAGCCAUCAUUUAAAGAAAGCGUAAUAGCUCACUGGUCGAGUCGGCCUGCGCGGAAGAUGUAACGGGGCUAAACCAUGCACCGAAGCUGCGGCAGCGACACUAUGUGUUGUUGGGUAGGGGAGCGUUCUGUAAGCCUGUGAAGGUGUACUGUGAGGUAUGCUGGAGGUAUCAGAAGUGCGAAUGCUGACAUAAGUAACGAUAAAGCGGGUGAAAAGCCCGCUCGCCGGAAGACCAAGGGUUCCUGUCCAACGUUAAUCGGGGCAGGGUGAGUCGACCCCUAAGGCGAGGCCGAAAGGCGUAGUCGAUGGGAAACAGGUUAAUAUUCCUGUACUUGGUGUUACUGCGAAGGGGGGACGGAGAAGGCUAUGUUGGCCGGGCGACGGUUGUCCCGGUUUAAGCGUGUAGGCUGGUUUUCCAGGCAAAUCCGGAAAAUCAAGGCUGAGGCGUGAUGACGAGGCACUACGGUGCUGAAGCAACAAAUGCCCUGCUUCCAGGAAAAGCCUCUAAGCAUCAGGUAACAUCAAAUCGUACCCCAAACCGACACAGGUGGUCAGGUAGAGAAUACCAAGGCGCUUGAGAGAACUCGGGUGAAGGAACUAGGCAAAAUGGUGCCGUAACUUCGGGAGAAGGCACGCUGAUAUGUAGGUGAAGUCCCUCGCGGAUGGAGCUGAAAUCAGUCGAAGAUACCAGCUGGCUGCAACUGUUUAUUAAAAACACAGCACUGUGCAAACACGAAAGUGGACGUAUACGGUGUGACGCCUGCCCGGUGCCGGAAGGUUAAUUGAUGGGGUCAGCGCAAGCGAAGCUCUUGAUCGAAGCCCCGGUAAACGGCGGCCGUAACUAUAACGGUCCUAAGGUAGCGAAAUUCCUUGUCGGGUAAGUUCCGACCUGCACGAAUGGCGUAAUGAUGGCCAGGCUGUCUCCACCCGAGACUCAGUGAAAUUGAACUCGCUGUGAAGAUGCAGUGUACCCGCGGCAAGACGGAAAGACCCCGUGAACCUUUACUAUAGCUUGACACUGAACAUUGAGCCUUGAUGUGUAGGAUAGGUGGGAGGCUUUGAAGUGUGGACGCCAGUCUGCAUGGAGCCGACCUUGAAAUACCACCCUUUAAUGUUUGAUGUUCUAACGUGGACCCGUGAUCCGGGUUGCGGACAGUGUCUGGUGGGUAGUUUGACUGGGGCGGUCUCCUCCUAAAGAGUAACGGAGGAGCACGAAGGUUGGCUAAUCCUGGUCGGACAUCAGGAGGUUAGUGCAAUGGCAUAAGCCAGCUUGACUGCGAGCGUGACGGCGCGAGCAGGUGCGAAAGCAGGUCAUAGUGAUCCGGUGGUUCUGAAUGGAAGGGCCAUCGCUCAACGGAUAAAAGGUACUCCGGGGAUAACAGGCUGAUACCGCCCAAGAGUUCAUAUCGACGGCGGUGUUUGGCACCUCGAUGUCGGCUCAUCACAUCCUGGGGCUGAAGUAGGUCCCAAGGGUAUGGCUGUUCGCCAUUUAAAGUGGUACGCGAGCUGGGUUUAGAACGUCGUGAGACAGUUCGGUCCCUAUCUGCCGUGGGCGCUGGAGAACUGAGGGGGGCUGCUCCUAGUACGAGAGGACCGGAGUGGACGCAUCACUGGUGUUCGGGUUGUCAUGCCAAUGGCACUGCCCGGUAGCUAAAUGCGGAAGAGAUAAGUGCUGAAAGCAUCUAAGCACGAAACUUGCCCCGAGAUGAGUUCUCCCUGAC
rnacentral:rRNA from 1 species